rnacentral:tRNA from 1 species
GGCUAGUUGGUCUAGUAGUAUAAUUCUUAACCAUUAGUUAAGAGGUCGUAGGUUCGAGUCCUAUACUAGCUA